GUGAACUAAAAUUGCGUAGGAUGAGUUCAGAAUUUUUAUCGUCUAUCUGACGGUUCCUAUCAGUGUUGUUGUGUUGAUUGUGUUUAUAUGUGAAGUUUAGGUCUAAAAUUAUGAGUUUAUUUGAAAUGAUUUUGUGCACGAUUAUGAGGUGGACUAGUACAUAUAUGUGAUUGUUGGGGACUUGUUCUCAAAUGCUAUGAAUUAAGAACAAGGCAACACAAGAAAUGGUAAACGUUAAAGUCCUUCGUCCUUCGAAGCAUUAUUUCCCUUAGGACAUAAUGAUUUUCGGACGAAGGUUAUGAAGGACAUACCUUCAUAAAUUCAACAUAUAAUAAUGAAGAAGGAAUCAUAUGAGACACAAAAGAUAGCAUAAACCAUUAUGUAUUAUCAUCAACUCAUUUCUGUAUUAUUAUUAUAGAAAAGUAGAAAUAAUAUCAAAUUACAAAUGUACCUUCGGCUUGAAAGAAGGCGAAAGUACAAGCGUGACGCAAAAGCAAAUACCAAGUCAGCGUGAGCAGUACGGGGGUACUGUUCACCUAUUUAUAGGCACGGGACACAGCCCAUAUAAAAUUACAUCCAUGCCCUUUACAUUUGGUAGUAAUUCUAUAGUAAUCCACCGAGGUCUGAAUAGCCUUUUCAUCUUUAAGUCGGUUUCCUUUUGUGCUACCACGCCGAAGCUUUCCUGCUCACAUCUUCGGCGCUGUAUCAACCUUCGUAUUAUUUGGGCUUCUCCUACUGUGAUAUCGAUUCGAGUCCGAAGAUACCUGUUCACACAUUAUACUCCAGAAACACUGUUAAAUCUUGUUUUUGAGGACCUUCGGAAGCCGAAGGCCCCCAACAGUAGCCCUCGCAAUAUUAAUUUGUUAGAAUAAUAAAUUUAGAUUGUGACAUGGACGAAGGCCUUAAGCCGAAGGUCCGAAAAAACACCUUCCCUUUGCUAGAAUAGCAACAUUCACUGACAAGCGAAGUCUUCCAAUUUUCAACGCACUGGGCGUAUAAAUAAGAGCAUACCGCGAGCUCAUUUGGUACGCUCUCUUGCCAUCUGCUCUUGCUCACUCAAUUUUUAGCUCUUGCGCACCAAGACUUGCUUAGCUUUUUAAGUUUUUAAGCUUCGGCGUUGAAAACAGUUUUUUACUGUUUCCGAAGAUGUCUGAAGAUAAGAAGGCUGCUGCCGAGAUGAAGCUGAGUCUCUCUGAAGAGAAAAACCUGGGGUUUCUUAUAGCAAUGUCGAAGACCAAUACAGAAAAAAUCACCAAAGAGAUUUUAGAAGGUUUGUCUGAAGAUACUGAUGACAGCGACAGUUAUGAUGUGGAUAGUGGUGGUGAAGACUCCGAAGAUCGCCCUUGGCGACCAAGCCAUGCGGUUUUCGGCAAAUCAAGUAUUAAAGAAAAUCAUCUUGUCAACAUGAGGGGAAGAUAUUUCCGGGACUUGUCCGUUGUGAGGGCCGACGAAGGAGAAAAGACUUGUCCGAACCCUGAAGAAAAUGAAGUCGUAGUGUACCGAAGCUUUUUGAAAGCUGGACUACGAUUUCCCUUGAGCAACUUUGUCGUAGAGGUGCUGAAAAUAUUUGAAGUCUAUCUUCACCAACUUACCCCCGAAGCAAUCAUAAGGCUGAAUAUCUUCGUGUGGGCCGUGAGAAGCCAAGGUCUGGAACCUGAUGCGAAAAGUUUCUGCAACAUACACGAAUUAUCAUACGAGACAAAGCCCUGGGGUAAGGAACAGUAUCACAAUAAUUUUGGCUGCUACAGUUUCGUUUCUCGGUCUGGGUCAAGCUGUCCCGUGCCAACCUUUCGGAAGAGAUGGCCCGGCGACUGGAUGACAGAAUGGUUUUAUGUAAAGAAUGACCUAAAAACACGGGAAGAUAUUAAAGGUAUAAUUAUGCGCCCUAUUUGGCAAAGCUUCGGCCUGCGGAGGCCGAAGGUUGAAAUGAAUGAAGCUGCCGAAGAAUGCCAGAGAGCCUUCGGAGUUAUUUGUUCUUUUAUUGGAACGAGAGAUUUGGUCCAAGAGCAUAUUGCCUUCAGAGUAUGGCCGCUCACAGAAAAAUGGGAAAUGCCACAAGAGACUAUAAAGGAGGCUGACGAAGGUGGACUUAUCAGGCUGAAGUAUACUUUCAAAUUCGGAGACAAAUUCGUAGAGCCAGAUGAUGACUGGCUAAAAAGCAUUGAAAAUGUAAGUGAUGAACUACUUGGGGUUUAUUCAAAGGCCGAAGAAACUGCAUUGUCAGCAGCCUUCGGAGGCCGAAAAAAGAAAAGACUGAACCGAGUGUUUGACGCAAUUGGGUUUGUCUACCCUGACUAUCGUUAUCCCAUUCGAGGGCAGAAAAGAAAAGGCACGACUCCUGCGACAGAAGAAGCUGCCGCUGCUCCUAGUGAGCCAGCACUGAAAAGAAAAAGGAUAAAGAUCCUCACACAUCGGCCACGCUAUAUUGAACUAGCCUCGGUGCCUGAGUUCACCGGAGAGACCUCUUCGGCCACCGAGGCUGAAGAGCCAACCUUGCUGCCAGAAGUCACAGAAAUGGCCGAAGCGCCAACAACAACAGAAUUGGAGGAACCAAAAAUUUUAUUACCAGAAACCAAAGAGAUGGCCGAAGCGCCAUCGACAGAAAAAAUGGAAGAAUCAAAAGGAUCGACUGAGGGAACGAAAGUGUUGGAAAUUUUGAGUCCUUCAGCAAGUGUUGAGACAAUAAAAAACCAAAAGGGUCCAGCGGUGACUCCGAAAAGAAAAAGAAUGGUCAAUGUGCUAGAUGUUCUGGAGACAAUUAAGUCCUCAAGCACAACUCCGAAAAAGACUGUUGAAACUUCCGAAGCGGAAACUGAAAUUUUUGAUACUAAAGCUCCAAAGCAACAAACUGAGGCUGAAGCUGGGCCUUCAGAGCCCACGAAGGUAAAAUCCUUGGAAACCGAGGAAGAAAAAAUGAUGGAGCCAAUUCUUGUUGAAGAAAUCAGUGCUGUUGCCCCCGAAGCAUCCCCUAAAGUCCUUGAUUAUAUUGUUCGACAUGCUUCGGGGAAAAAAUUGUCUGAAAAAGAAAAGCAAGAGGCCCAGUUUUACGCCCAAAAACUGAAAUAUCCAAAGGGGGCGUUGGUAUUCAACGGCAGCGGAGAAGAAGACUUCUUGUAUUGUCUCCCUGACAGCAAGGAGAUUUCUGUCUGUCGGGAGAUGAGCAAGAGCUUCAGAUUCCCAACACUAGAAGACGGGCUCUCGGUGUUGUCGAAAAACGAGCUGGCCGACAGCUUGGCGUACAAUAGCUUAAAGGUGCAAAAAAUGAAGUCUUUGUAUUUUUUCUUGAGACCAAAAUUUUUCGUUUGCUUAAAUUUAUUGACGCACACACAUUUUUCUUUGCAGGGCCUUAUACUUAGCAAUGCCCUCAGGGCCCAAAAAGAUGCCGAAGACGAAGGGUGUGUUAUGGCCCUGAGCAACCUUCGUUCCGAAGUAAUUGAACUAAGGAACGAAGGUCUCGAAAAAGAUAAAAUAUUACAUUCAUUGAUAAAUAGAAUAAAAGAAGACGAAGCUACUUUUAAAGGUCAAGCUGAGGCUCAGAAGCGUGAAAUUGAAGAUCUUCGAAAACAACUAGCCAGAGCUAAAGAGGAACGCAUACUUGAAGAAACGAGGCGAGAACUUAGUAACCAAUGGGCAAAUCAUUUAGAAGGAACUGUUGAAGAGCUUCGUUCGUCCAAGAAAAGAUGCUAUGUCAAAUCUAUGGAGUGUGUUAAGAAAAUGAAAGCUAGCUUCGCCAGCGUUGGCGCAUUCUCGAGCGAAGAAAACUUUACAAGAGGCAACCCCGAAGGUCCCAUCGAAUGGAUUAAUCACGAAGCUGAGGCCUUUGAGGAAAUUUUAAAUAGCCGCGGAGACAUAUGCGCUUUUUCGGGUGCCAGGGGGGAUUGCCACCAUUUUGGAGAAAAAAGGCUGCGAGCAUGUAAAGAUUUUAGCGCAAUCCGAAGCUACCUUGUCCUUCGAAGAUGCAAAAGAUCCUUCAGCCGAAGCUAGCAUGGUUGGUGGAAAAUUUUUCACCGAUGUCUGGGACAAUGGUGGUCGAGAAAUGGCCCGAGAAAUUAUCCAAAAAAGCGAAAAGGGCAUCCAUGAUGCUAGAAAAGUAGCAGAGGCUGCUGAGAAAAGCGCAGAGCCCGAAGGGCAAAUAGGUAUUAACUAAUGGUUUUUAUUGUGUUGUAAUUUUUGAUUUUAAACUUCGUUCGCAAUUUGUAAUAGCAAUGUAGCUGUAUCCUGUCCUCCCUCAGAUCCUACUAAGCGUCUCUGGGCCCUCCCCCGAAAGAUGACGAUGAAAUUAAAAAGAUGGCUGAAGCUAUCAUGGAUCAAGUUGUUAAUCAACUCCUGAAUGAAGCUGCGGAAGUAGUACUUAGGGAAGACUAGGUGCUAUUGUAAAAACAUCUGAAAUAUAAUAUGUAUAAUAUCUUAUAAUCCUGAAUGUAAUAUACUUGUCCUUUUUUUAUGGUUCAAUUCUUUACGAUGCAUGAAAUUUUACAUACGUACCGUUUUUGAGUCUUUGACGAAAAAACACCUUCCCUUCUUUUCAUGCUUCGUGAAGAAGAAUUUUCAUUUAUCACAAUAAUAUCCGUAGUGUUCUGAUGAAGAAUAUCCAAGCUUCGUGAAGAUAUUUUCCGAAGCUACACUUCCGAAGAUCAAUAGUGUAUCUCCUUGCGACUUAGCAUGAUUUUCCCCUUUUUCAAAACAUUCUUCUGAAGAUCGAUAUUGUGUCCCCUUCUUGUGCCAUAUGCAGCAUGAUGUAUGAUGCUUAUGCCAUGCGAAAUGAUGUGAUGAUGUUAUGCUAUGUAAAAUGGUAUUUAUUCCGAAGAUACACACACAUCCCUGUAAUAAAACACAUAAUCUUUUUAAAUCAGCGUUGACUUUUCGCUGUAAGCCUCCCUUAGGAGCUUCUUCGCCUUUUACUUCAGCGGAAUCAGCGUUUAUUUUUCGCUGUAAGCCUCCCUUAGGAGCUUCUUCGCCUUUUACUUUCAGCGGUAUUCGCGUUGACUUUUCGUGCUUCGCCUUUUACUUAGGCGGUAUCAGCGUUUAUUUUUCGCUAUAAGCUCUGCAUUCCCUUUGGAACGACUUUGGAGCAGAAAACUUACACUGCGCUCCCUUUGGAACGGCUUUUUGUAACUUCAGCAAACUUACUCUGCGUUCCUUAGAACGACUUUUUGUUGCUUCGAAGAAUUUUUGAUAAUUCGAAGGUCCUCCUUGUUAUCGCAAAUCUUUAAGCUUCAACAACUUAAGCCUGUGGAGAAAAUAUAUUUUCCUUGUGACAAACAACGAAACUAUUACAUGAAAUUUAAAAAAUGUCCUUUAUUACACAGAAAAUAAAACUGAAUGGAAAAGACUACUAUCAAGGUAGGAUAUUUGUCAAUAGAUGUGCUUCGACUCUAGCACAGUGCUAUUGACUGUGCGAGCUUCGGACUGUUCUCUGAAGUCCCUUUGGUGUUGAGCAUAUUGGCCCCCUUCUGGCUGCUGGCCUUGUUGCAGCGGUGGUGGAGGCGGAGGCUGUUGCCAGGAAGCUUGAGGUUGACUCGCCGAAGCAACAGAAACUGCAGGGUGGUUGCCUACAUAUUCUGGGAUGUAAGGUGAAUGAUACGAAGCAGUGUGCAUGAUUUGCUUCGGCUGAGCCUGUUGUGCUGCAACUUCGGCUAUCUCCUUUUGCUUCUGGAUGGUAACAUGGCACAUCCUGGUGGUAUGGCCCUUGUUUUUACCACAGAACAAGCAAAAUAUUCUCCUUGGUUGAUCUCCAAACCUUCCGCCGAAGCCCCUGGCGCCUCUGCCUCUUGGAGCUGGCGGCCGGAAGGAGCUUUGUUGUUGCCCCGAAGCCUGUGAGGAGCACUGUGGCCUUUGCUGCUGACUUCCCUUAUCAUCAUUUUGAGUAGAGUUGUGAAUUGACCUAACAUGCCUCGGAUAAAAUCUUCCUCCGAAACCCCUGGUCAUUUCAGAAAACCUGAAAGCCUCCUCCCUUCUUUGACGAAAAUCAUUGUCGGCACGAAUAUACUCGUCCAUCUUCUGGAGCAGCUUCUCCAAAGUUUGAGGAGGCUUCCUAGCAAAGUACUGAGCUGAAGGUCCUGGCCGAAGUCCCUUGAUCAUGGCCUCAAUAACAAUUUCAUUGGGCACUGUUGGUGCCUGUGCCCUCAAACGCAAGAACCUCCGGACAUACGCCUGAAGGUAUUCUUCGUGAUCCUGGGUGCACUGGAAUAGAGCUUGAGCAGUGACCGGCUUCGUCUGAAACCCUUGGAAGCUGGUUAACAACAUGUCCUUCAGCUUUUGCCAUGAAGUGAUCGUUCCUGGCCGAAGGGAGGAAUACCAGGUUUGAGCAACACUCCUGACAGCCAUAACAAAAGAUUUUGCCAUGACUGCAGUAUUGCCACCAUACGAAGAUACUGUUGCUUCGUAGCUCAUCAAAAACUGCUUCGGGUCUGAAUGGCCGUCGAAUAUGGGAAGCUGAGGCGGCUUGUAGGACGGAGGCCAAGGUGUAGCCUGCAGCUCAGCGGACAGAGGAGAAGCAUCAUCAAAAGCAAAAUUUCCAUGGUGAAAAUUCUCAUACCAGUCAUCUUCGUUGAGGAAACCCUCCUGAUGAAGGUCUUUAUUCUGAGGCCUUCGGUUCUGCUCAUCCUGAGUAAGAUGACAAACUUCUUCAGAGGCUUCGUCUAUCUGCCUUUGCAGUUCAGCUAGUCUGGCCAUCUUUUCCUUCUUCCUCUGCACCUGUUGAUGAAGCAUCUCCAUGUCUUUUAUUUCUUGGUCUAGCUCAUCCUCUGGCGGUGUCGGGCUGACAGCCUUCCUCUUCUAGCUUCGGGCCUCCCGAAGGGAGAGAGUCUCCUGAUUGGGGUCUAGCGGUUGCAGAGCUGCAGCCCCAGUUGCUGAAGCUUUCUUCGGCGCCAUAGCGAAGGUUUAUGAUCGCCGAAGGUGUUCAAAACUCAAAGAGUGGAAGUGAGUUCACCGGAGGUGGGCGCCAAUGUUGGGGACUUGUUCUCAAAUGCUAUGAAUUAAGAACAAGGCAACACAAGAAAUGGUAAACGUUAAAGUCCUUCGUCCUUCGAAGCAUUAUUUCCCUUAGGACAUAAUGAUUUUCGGACGAAGGUUAUGAAGGACAUACCUUCAUAAAUUCAACAUAUAAUAAUGAAG
rnacentral:lncRNA from 1 species